rnacentral:misc_RNA from 1 species
GUUUGGUCUUUGUGAGUCUGUCGUUACGUAAGGUUAUGUUUUACGGAUUUUAGUGUUUUAUUCCUUCAAAUUAUGGCUGAGAACAACGAAAUGAUCAGAAAUACGAAAAAAAGAAAACAGACAGGAAGAAUGAGUGAUGUUUUAAAGUAACUUUCGACAAGGACAUGAAAUUGGCGAUGACUGCAAGUGUAAUCGUUUUAAAUGUUUUGAAAUGAUAAGUGAAGACCAGAGAACAAGAACAAUACGACAAUUAAAUAGUUUUGCGAACAGGUGAAGAAAAUGCGAAAUUACAUAAUAAGCCAUACUCUUACAAGAUUCGUAUGAUUGGGGAUGAUACUUACGAGUUACUGGUUUGUAAAAAAGCUUUUAUAUCCUUACAUGGUAUCACUGGAAGAAGACUUCAAUUUCUUCAGAAAUCACUGACUGAGCAUGGUGUUGUCCAAAAAGAUAAACGGGGGAUACAUGUUAAAGCAAACCUUUUAAAACUAACUACUGAUUUGAUUUACAAGCAAAUUGACACUCUGAAAACAAUUAAUGGUAAAAA